GCUCACCGGGCCCGAAGGGCCCCAUGUGAGCUUAUGCCAUCACUUGGCGUCCGUCGUCGUCGUCUGUCGUCGUAAACUAUUUCAAAAAUCUUCUCCUCUGAAACUACAGGGCCAAAUACCUUCAAACUUUAACUAAAUGUUCCUUAGGGUAUCUAGUUUGUAAAUUGUAUCCGAAGUUUUGAUCCAUCGACAAACAUGGCCGCCAUGGCUAAAAAUAGAACAUAGGGGUCAAAUGCAGUUUUUGGCUUAUAUCUCAAAAACUAAAGCUUUUAGAGCAAAUCUGACAUGGGGGUAAAAUUGUUCAAUUGGUCAAGAUCUAUCAGCUCUGAAAUUUUCAGAUGAAUCGAACAACCCAUUGUUGGGUUGCUGCCACCGAAUUGGUAGUUUUAAAAAAAUUUUGCAGUUUUUAUACGACCGCAAAAAUUAAAAAUUUUUUGGUCGUAUAUUGGUAUGACGUUGGCGUCGGCGUCGUCGUCGUCGUCGUCUGGCAUCGUCCGGCGUCGUCCGAAGACACAUUGGUUUUCGCACUCUAACUUUAGUUUAAGUGAAUGGAUCUCCAUGAAAUUUUACCAUAAGGUUCUAUACCACGAAAGGAAGGUUGGGAUUGAUUUUGGGGGUUAUGGUACCAACAGUUAAGGAAUUAGGGGCCAAAAAUAAGCAUUUUUGUAACUUCCAGACAAUAACUUGUGUGUAAGUGUAUGGAUCUCUCUGACAUUGUACCACAAGGUUCCAUAUCACAAAGGGAAGGCUGUAAUUGAUUUUGGGGGUAAUUGCCUCAAAAUUUUAGGAAUUAGGGGCCAAAAAAGGGGCAAAAAACAAGCAUUUUUCUAGUUUCAUGACAAUAACUUGUGUGUAAGUGUUUGGAUAUUUCUGAAAUUGUACUACAAGGUUCCAUAUCACAAAGAGAAAGCUGGGUUUGAGUUUGGGGGUAAUUGCCCUAAAUGUUUAGGAAUUUGGGUCCAAAAAACAAGCAUUUUUCUUGUUUCCAGACAAUAACUUGUGUUCAAGUGUAUGGAUCUCUCUGAAAUUGUACAGUUCAUACAUGUGAACCUUCCGACGGGAGAACAAUAAUCCCUCUCCUCCCAACCUCCCGUUGAAGACAAAAAAAUCCUGUGUAUGAAAUAUUUCAUGAAUGAAAAAUUUCAGCCCAACAUAUCUGGUGUACCUGACAUUACUGAAGUUAUAUUUUACCUGUAAAUCAAUUAACAUGCAUAAUUAUAUGGCCUCACUUGUCACCUUGGGUGUCAAACAUACUGGUAAUAAACGAUUUUUACCUCAGGCUAACUGCUGUUGUGUAAUAAAACUUUGUUUAUUUAAAAUGAAUGUUGGGUUACUUCCCUUGAUUUAUCCUGUUUUAAGUUACUUUCCUUUAAAUAAUUUAAAUUUUUAAAAGAAUAUAAAUAAAAUAUAAAUUAAACAAAUAAUCAUAAAAGGAUGGUAAUUAAAUGAUUUUAAAUGUUUUAGGACAAAUAAAAAAAUAAUAAUUUGAAAAUUAUUUGAGGGUUCUAUACUUCCUUUCAAGGCUUAACUUGAAAUUUAUAUAAUAACUAUGAGCCAUGAUUACAGUUUGAAUGUGUUACUUAUCAUUCAUUAAAAA